rnacentral:rRNA from 1 species
UAAACAUUGAUACACUAUUACAUCUUCAAUCCGCCCGGGUACUACAAGCACUAGCUUAAAACCCAAAGGACUUGGCGGUGCUUAAGAUCCCCCUAGAGGAGCCUGUUCUAAAACCGAUAAUCCACAGUUUAACCUCACCCUCUCUUGUUUUUCCCGCCUAUAUACCGCCGUCGUCAGCUUACCCUGUGAAGGUCCAAUAGUGAGCAAAAAUGGCACAGCCCAAAACGUCAGGUCGAGGUGUAGCGCAUGAGAGGGGAAGAAAUGGGCUACAUUCUCUAAAAAUAGAAGCACACGGACAAUAUAUUGAAACAUAUAUUUUAAGGAGGAUUUAGUAGUAAGUAGAAAUUAGAACAUUCCACUGAACUCGGCCCUAAAGCGCGC